rnacentral:rRNA from 1 species
UACGGAGGGGGCUAGCGUUGUUCGGAAUUACUGGGCGUAAAGGGCUCGUAGGUGGCCAACUAAGUCAGACGUGAAAUCCCUCGGCUUAACCGGGGAACUGCGUCUGAUACUGGAUGGCUUGAGUUCGGGAGAGGGAUGCGGAAUUCCAGGUGUAGCGGUGAAAUGCGUAGAUAUCUGGAGGAACACCGGUGGCGAAGGCGGCACCCUGGACCGACACUGACGCUGAGGAGCGAAAGCCAGGGGAGCAAACGGG